CAGCAGCCGCGGGAAUACGAAGGGUGCAAGCGUUAAUCGGAAUUACUGGGCGUAAAGCGUGCGUAGGCGGUUUGUUAAGUCUGUUGUGAAAUCCCCGGGCUCAACCUGGGAAUGGCAAUGGAUACUGGCAAGCUAGAGUGUGUCAGAGGAUGGUGGAAUUCCCGGUGUAGCGGUGAAAUGCGUAGAGAUCGGGAGGAACAUCAGUGGCGAAGGCGGCCAUCUGGGACAACACUGACGCUGAGGCACGAAAGCGUGGGGAGCAAACAGGAUUAGAUACCCCUGUAGUCCCUGUCUCUUAUAC
rnacentral:rRNA from 1 species